CUUUAUUCAUAGAUGAUUGAAAAAGUAAAAUCCAUGACGCAAAGCCAGUUGUGAAUUGCGAAUGAUCGACUCAGACACCAGAGUCGAAACAAGCAGUUUUACUGUGCAGCUCUCAAGGAGUGGUCAGAACGAAUGGACUCAGUGGAAUCGUCGAAUCAACGUCGGGCGACGGUGACCCAACGCGAGCAAUGGAUGGUUCAGGAUCAAGUUUUCCAGAUCUACGAUAUCUUCGCUAAUAUCCCUCCCAAGGCUCAAAACCUAAUGUUAGAGCUUCAACGUGACAGUCAUAUAGAGUAUCUAAACAAAGGACUCAUGCAACUCAGUUCCUCCUUUGUGGUAUUGGAUUCUAAGUGCGUCUCUCUAUCUUCUUUAGUUUAUAGUUUUCUACCUGAUUGAACUUGUAACUUCUGCUGAAAUUUCAAUUUCUUUGUGUUUGGGGUUGCUUGCUCAGUGAUGUUAGCCGCUCAUACUAGCAAGUAGUGCUGUUAUACAGUUAUACUUUGUGGGUUUAGUGCAUAAGAACUGUUUGAAAUCUGAUCCCUGGAUCAAAAUACUUUUUUCUCCUUAUGUUGGGUAUUUGGAUUCAACAAUGUUGUGUUUUAUUAGAUUGGGUAAUAAUGGCUCAGUACCCAUUAUCCGUGUGAGAUUCCUAUUUGUAUGCAUGUAAAGUGAAAGACUUUUCACUCUAUGCUCAAUGAAAGUUCGUUUGAUAUCAAAGAGGUAGUGUCAUGGUAAGUCCUAUUUGUAUGAAAGCCCUAAUCCUGUAUGCACAUAAUGAAGAUAUUAAGUUUUUUAAAAAUAAAAUUACUUCCUAAACAAAGUUGAUAUUUGGUUUAAUUGGAAAUUUACAUGUACUUUGCAAUUCAAUUGCUUUAGUAGUUGCCAUGAAUCCUUCCAGGAUGAAAAAACCGAGUUUCUGAGGCUACCACACCAUUUCAUUAUGGCAUAGAUAUUUUAUGGCUUCAUGGGUUCUUGAAUAGAGUAAGUGAAUAUGGAAAGGAAAAUACUUGAAGAAACUGCAUGAAGUUGGCUUUUUUCCCUUUUAAACCUUUUUCCACCUGUCUUCUUAAAAGUAUUUAAAAGCAAUUUUUCGUAUUUUAUUUCAAUAUAAAUGUUUUAAUUGUUUGCUACAUGUAGAAAGGAAAACGUUCAAUCUUUUCUUUCUUUGUCUUCUAGAACUUCAUGUCGACUAUCUGCCAAAAUUGAGUAGUUACGGGGUAUGAUUUCAUAAGCAUAGAUGAUGGUGCAAAUUAAUAUAAGUGACCCAUUUUAUAAUUUGGGAAAAGUGGUCUUAAGUUUUCUAUCUAUGAUUUACUUUAGCUAGUUUAAUUGAGGAAGAUUUAAUUAUGGAAAAUGAUAUUUUAUCUUUGACUGCAGUGUGACACAUAAUGGACCUGCUUUUGUUUACAUGUGAUGCUCAACUAUGUUGAAAAGUUACUCAUAUGCUAAAGUUGAUUUUAUUUCAUUUCUCGGUACACAAUUUUGCUUUGUGUAGUCGACCUUGGCUUUGCUACUGGAUUCUGCACUCAAUUGCUUUAUUGGGGGAGUCUAUCGAUUAUGAACUAGAAAAUAAUGCCAUUGACUUUCUUAAGCGUUGUCAGGAUCCGAAUGGUGGAUAUGGUGGUGGACCUGGACAGAUGCCUCACCUUGCAACAACUUAUGCUGCAGUUAAUUCACUUAUUACUUUGGGCGGACGUAGAGCCUUGUCGUCUAUUAAUAGAGAAAAAUUGUAUGCUUUUUUGCGGCGAAUGAAAGCCUCAAGUGGGGCAUUCAGGAUGCAUGAUGCUGGGGAAAUUGAUGUGCGGGCUUGCUACACAGCCAUUUCAGUUGCAAGUAUUCUCAACAUUUUGGAUGAUGAGCUGAUUGAGGAUGUUGGUAAUUACAUCUUAAGCUGUCAGACUUAUGAAGGUGGUAUUGCAGGAGAACCUGGCUCUGAAGCUCAUGGUGGAUACACAUUUUGUGGACUGGCAGCAAUGAUUUUGAUCAAUGAGGCCAAUCGUUUGGACUUGGCUGGUUUACUUGUAAGAUCAUGUUGCCUUCAUUGAUAAUUCAUGGCUGUUAUUUAUCUGGUUGUGUAAAUUACUGUGCAUUGUGCUUUUGUUUGUUGAAUGUAACCUUGAAGGUAAAGUUUUGCUUGUAACUUUCAUUAGCUCGUGUAUUUUGAUUGUUGGAUUUUGUAUUAGGAUUGGGUAGUAUUUCGACAAGGAGUAGAGUGUGGAUUUCAGGGGAGAACAAACAAAUUGGUUGAUGGCUGCUACUCCUUCUGGCAGGUGAUGUUAUAUCUUAUUGUCAGUUAUCAGUGUUUCUUCAGAUUUAUGGUUCAUUAACAAUGAGAAUUAAUCAGGGAAGUGUAUUUGCACUAUUGCAAAGAUUACAUUCAGUUAAUGGUAAACGUGUGGCUUUUUCCGAUGCUGAAGAAGGAGAUUGUGCUACAGAUAGCACUUCUGAAGGAGAACUUACAGAUGGAAAUUCAUCAGAGACGGAUGAGACUUGCCAUAUGAAACAGGGAGUAGGACAUGGAGAAAUGGAGCCCCUUUUUCACAGCAUAGCCUUGCAGCAGUACAUAAUUCUAUGCUCACAGGUAUAUAUCGGAAAAUUAGUUCUAUCAAUGAUAAUAAGGGGAAAAAAGAAGAAGGGGAGAAGAGAAGGCAGGGGAGGGGUUGGUGUGUGGGUGGAAGGGCGGUGGAAGGAAACAUAAUUCCAUAAUUAAUAGCUUUUAUGCCUGCUUGACUAUUUCUCAUAUCACAUUAUUGCUUUAUGUGAUGUUCUGAAAAAGCCUGAAGUGCUACCUUUUUGGCUUGAAACUUCUGGCAUCUUUUGCUUCACGUGCUGAGAAAUGCUGCAUUUAAUGUUAUGUUUUUAUGAGAGAACAGAUUUUAACAUACGAAAAGCAAAAUUAAAAGAAAGGCUUUACCCGGAAAAACAAUAGACUAAUAUGUCCUUAUUUGUGACUUUUUGCUUUUCAUCAUGGCUAAACAAAAAGUUAAUGGCCUUUACCAUCAUUGUCAUCGGUGUUAGGUUGCCAUCAUUGUUACUAUUCCACUAUAGGACCACAGCCACCACCACUAUUUCAACCACCAUCAUUAACCAUCACAAAUUCAUUGGUGGAUCUCCACCGUCACUUUCACUGUUCCUGCUAUCACUACAAUUACUCCUGGUGACAAUGUCAUCACUAGCAUUCCUGCGUGCGAUUAGCUAAUCAUUACCACAAGUACUGCAAGCAGUGAACCAAUAUUGCUGAUACCAACGCCUCUUGAAGACCAUUGUCAUUGCUUGCAUUGCUGAUAUUUGAAUAUUUAUGUAAUUUAGAAAAUUUGUGACGUAAUAGAUUCUUGUAUAAUGUUGUCAUUGCAGGAACAGGGGGGUGGAUUCAGAGACAAACCUGGGAAGGCCAGGGACUAUUAUCACACGUGCUAUUGUUUGAGUGGCCUCUCUGUAUGUCAGUAUAGCUGGUCGAAGGAUGAGAAUUCUCCACCUCUGCCAAAGGCGGUGUUAGGUCCCUACUCGAAUCUUUUGGAACCCAUCCAUCCUCUACAUAAUGUGGUCUUAAAGCAGUACCAUGAGGCUCAUGAAUUCUUUUCCUCCCAAAGCACAUCUUAGUCAGUUAUUCUAAAGUUGAGAUGUGAUGCAAAUUUUUUAUAGUACUGUGAAACUUCAAUCCAUUUCAUAGAUUGUAGGAAAGAGCUUAAUUGUGUACCAUAGUGAUGGUAUUUUCUAGGUUGCAGCAUGUGCAUUGUAUAAUUUGACUUCUGAUCAGUAAUUAAUAUUCUCCAUUCAUAUAUAUGUUUUAUCUCCCCAAGAUGUGGAGUGAAAGAAGGGCAUGCCAUCGAGGGUUGGUUGGUGGCAUAUCUAGUAUCUACUGUUUUAUAUUUGUGAAGGCAUUAAAUUUUGCUUUUGAUAUAAGAUGCAAUCUUUUUGGAAUGUGUGGAGUAGUCUAAAGACCGUAACAUAACGGCUUGUUUAUUUGUACUAUUGGAUAUAAUUAAUAAUUGUUAAUGUUAGUGAUAGCUACUGAUUUAUAUUAAUUGUUUUGUAAAAUCAUGUUUAAC
rnacentral:misc_RNA from 1 species